rnacentral:lncRNA from 1 species
AUUCAAUCAUUGUAUUCAUAUAGGGUCAAGGAGUGUAGCUGCAAAAAAUCAUCAAAAUCGGAGUUAAAAUGACCGUUAAAUCGUGGGUUUUCUUUUUAUAACCGUCGAAAAGUUUUGUCCCGUUACUUGAUCUCUGAAUGUUUGUUUUUUGCAAUUUUUGGCGUAUGCGAUCUCGAAGUAUAUACAAACAUGUUUGACGGUUGGAUCAUUGAAACUAGUUUCAUAGAAUGAGUAUCCCAUCAAAACAAUAGAUUCACUAAGACUUAAGAGUUUAUUCAUACUUUCAUUAAGUAUAACAUAAGAUUUUGUGGUAUCCACUAGUGUAAAUAUUUUAAAUUGAAGAUCGAAUUCAUUCUUUGUAUUCAUAUAGGAUCAAGGAGUGUAGCUGCAAAAAAUCAUCAAAAUCGGAGUUAAAAUAAUCGUUAAAUCAUGAUUUUUCUUUUUCUAACCGUUGAAAAGUUUUGUCCCGUUACUUGAUCUCUGAAUGUUUGUUUUUGCAAUUUUUGGCGUAUGCGAUCUCGAAGUAUAUACAAACAUGUUGGACGGUUGGAUCGUUGAAACUAGUUUCGUAGAAUGCGUGUAUCUCAUCAAAACAAUAGAUUCACUAACAUUUCAAAGUUUAUUCAUACUUUCAUUAAGUAUAACAUAAGUUUUUUUGUAUCCACUAGUGUAAAUAUUUUAAAUUGAAGAUCAAAUUCAAUCAUUGUAUUUAAAAUAGGGUCAAGGAGUGUAGCUGCAAAAAAUCAUCAAAAUCGGAGUUAAAAUGACCGUUAAAUCAUGGAUUUUCUUUUUAUAACCGUCGAAAAGUUUUGUCCCGUUCCUUGAUCUUUGAAUGUUUGUUUUUUGCAAUUUUUGGCGUAUGCGAUCUCGAAGUAUAUACAAACAUGUCUGACGGUUGGAUCAUUGAAACUAGUUUCGUAGAAUGAGUAUCCCAUCAAAACAAUAGAUUCACUAAUACUUAAGAGUUUAUUCAUACUUUCCUUAAGUAUAACAUAAGAUUUUGUGGUAUCCACUAGUGUAAAUAUUUUAAAUUGAAGAUCGA